rnacentral:lncRNA from 1 species
CAUACACACACACUCACAUACACACACAUUCACUCACAGAUAAGCACUCACAUACACUCACACGCACUCACACAUACUCACGUACACACACACUCACAUACACUCAUACACACUUUCACACACAUACCCACACAUACACAUACUCACACACAUACACAAACUCACACACAUACAUACACUCACACACACAUUCAUACACACACACACACACACGCAGAGCAAAAAGCACUCACAUCCUUUUGCUUGUGUGCAUGUUUUCCUGUCCACUGGUCUUGGGUUCUUUCCCACUGAAGAGAGAUGACUAUAGCUUUCUGAGCAGAGACUUUAAAAACUGAUGCAAGUUUGACCGAGUGAGCAAUUGAGUAGUAAGUAUUCUUCUUCGAAUAUAAAUUUUUUUCUGAUCACUUCUCAAAAAAAAAAAAAAAAA